rnacentral:rRNA from 1 species
AAAGGGUGCGUAGGCGGCCUGAUAAGUCCGGGGUGAAAGCCCGUUGCUCAACAACGGAACUGCCCUGGAUACUGUGAGGCUUGAGUACAGACGAGGUUGGCGGAAUGGACGGAGUAGCGGUGAAAUGCAUAGAUACCGUCCAGAACCCCGAUUGCGAAGGCAGCUGACUAGGCUGUUACUGACGCUGAGGCACGACAGCGUGGGGAGCGAACAGGAUUAGAUACCCUAGU